rnacentral:rRNA from 1 species
GUAAUACGAAGGGUGCAAGCGUUACUCGGAAUUACUGGGCGUAAAGCGUGCGUAGGUGGUCGUUUAAGUCCGUUGUGAAAGCCCUGGGCUCAACCUGGGAACUGCAGUGGAUACUGGGCGACUAGAGUGUGGUAGAGGGUAGCGGAAUUCCUGGUGUAGCAGUGAAAUGCGUAGAGAUCAGGAGGAACAUCCAUGGCGAAGGCAGCUACCUGGACCAACACUGACACUGAGGCACGAAAGCGUGGGGAGCAAACAGGAUUAGAUA